rnacentral:rRNA from 1 species
GACGAACGCUGGCGGCGUGCUUAACACAUGCAAGUCGAACGGUAAGGCCCUUCGGGGUACACGAGUGGCGAACGGGUGAGUAACACGUGGGUGAUCUGCCCUGCACUUCGGGAUAAGCCUGGGAAACUGGGUCUAGUACCGGAUAGGACUCCGGCCUGCAUGGUCUGGGGUGGAAAGCUGUUGCGGUGUGGGAUGGGCCCGCGGCCUAUCAGCUUGUUGGUGGGGUGAUGGCCUACCAAGGCGACGACGGGUAGCCGGCCUGAGAGGGUGACCGGCCACACUGGGACUGAGAUACGGCCCAGACUCCUACGGGAGGCAGCAGUGGGGAAUAUUGCACAAUGGGCGCAAGCCUGAUGCAGCGACGCCGCGUGAGGGAUGACGGCCUUCGGGUUGUAAACCUCUUUCAGCAUCGACGAAGCGAAAGUGACGGUAGGUGCAGAAGAAGGACCGGCCAACUACGUGCCAGCCGCCGCCGUAA